GCCGGGCGUGGUGGUGCACACCUUUGAUCCCAGCACUCGGGAGGCAGAGGCAGGUGGAUUUCUGAGUUCGAGGCCAGCCUGGUCUACAAAGUGAGUUCCAGGACAGCCAGGGCUACACAGAGAAACCCUGUCUCAGAAAAAAAAAAAAGGAGGUAUAAGUAUAGGUAUAGGUAUAGAUUUUUGAGACAGGGUUUCUCUGUGUAGUCUUGGCUGUCCUAGAACCAGCUCUGUAGACCAGCUAGUCUCAAACCACCUGCCUCU
rnacentral:sRNA from 1 species